rnacentral:rRNA from 1 species
GAUCCUGGCUCAGAUUGAACGCUGGCGGAAUGCUUUACACAUGCAAGUCGAACGGUAGAGGGGGCAACCCCUCGAGAGUGGCGAACGGGUGAGUAAUAUAUCGGAACGUGCCCAGUCGUGGGGGAUAACGUAGCGAAAGUUACGCUAAUACCGCAUACGAUCUACGGAUGAAAGCGGGGGACUCGCAAGAGCCUCGCGCGAUUGGAGCGGCCGAUAUCAGAUUAGGUAGUUGGUGGGGUAAAGGCUCACCAAGCCAACGAUCUGUAGCUGGUCUGAGAGGACGACCAGCCACACUGGAACUGAGACACGGUCCAGACUCCUACGGGAGGCAGCAGUGGGGAAUUUUGGACAAUGGACGCAAGUCUGAUCCAGCCAUUCCGCGUGCAGGAUGAAGGCCCUCGGGUUGUAAACUGCUUUUGUACGGAACGAAAAGGUCUCUAUUAAUACUAGGGGCUCAUGACGGUACCGUAAGAAUAAGCACCGGCUAACUACGUG